GACGAACGCUGGCGGCGUGCCUAAUACAUGCAAGUAGAACGCUGAAGGAGGAGCUUGCUUCUCUGGAUGAGUUGCGAACGGGUGAGUAACGCGUAGGUAACCUGCCUGGUAGCGGGGGAUAACUAUUGGAAACGAUAGCUAAUACCGCAUAAGAGUAGAUGUUGCAUGACAUUUGCUUAAAAGGUGCAAUUGCAUCAUUACCAGAUGGACCUGCGUUGUAUUAGCUAGUUGGUGAGGUAACGGCUCACCAAGGCAACGAUACAUAGCCGACCUGAGAGGGUGAUCGGCCACACUGGGACUGAGACACGGCCCAGACUCCUACGGGAGGCAGCAGUAGGGAAUCUUCGGCAAUGGACGGAAGUCUGACCGAGCAACGCCGCGUGAGUGAAGAAGGUUUUCGGAUCGUAAAGCUCUGUUGUAAGAGAAGAACGAGUGUGAGAGUGGAAAGUUCACACUGUGACGGUAUCUUACCAGAAAAGGACGGCUAACUACGU
rnacentral:rRNA from 1 species